rnacentral:lncRNA from 1 species
GCCAAUCCUUGGCUUAUAUAUGUCUCUACACUUUGCAAUAUCAUAAACCUAUAUCCUAGGGCUGAUAUUAACUUGAAUGAUGGACGGCCUGGAUGAGAUAAGGCUGGUCUUUGGUCUUGGCAGCUUGUCUUGUAAUUGGUUGAUUCAAACUGAGGCAAAAGGAGACUGAAGGCGCCAAUGUAUCUUGCUCCUUAUGUGACCAGAUACAUGCUUCUCCUUUUGCCUUUACCUUUUGCUUUUGCUUUCACUUUACAGCUUGCUCCUUAUCUAUACAAGAUGCUCAGCAUAUUCCUUCCCUCCAUAAGCCUUCAACGGUCUUGUUAAUUCAAACCUGCCGCGCCCACACAUUGCACAACUUGAUCAAGACUGAUCCGAGUGAUGGCUGUACCGGAUGGGAUGUACGGACGCUGUACGGCCUUGAGGUCCGUACACUCGUCCUAUGCUUUCAUCCAACUUCCUUCUAUGGUUAACCCUUACACCUUCUUGGAUCACCCUAGGCCGUACCAUGGCCGUACCGAACGCCCUAUCUUUGCACCAUACUUCCAUCUUCUCUUUAACUCCUCCAAAGCCUCCACAUGAUCAGUCUAAGUCUUUCCUAGACUUAACUUCACAAGAUAACUCCUUCAGAACACUUCUGAAGCUUGAUUGAACUCUUCUAGACAUCUUCUAGAGCUUGCCCUAUUCUUGUACAAGCUCCAUCUUCUCUUCAGUUCAACACUCCCCCUCAAGCUUGACUUUAGGAGAUCCUAAGCCAAGCUUGGAACUCUGAAGAGUCUCCCUCAUUAAAAACCUUACAAGGAAAACCCAUUGGGACAAAACCUUGCAAGGGAAAAAGAGUAGAGCUCUCCAAAGCCUAGGGAUUGGCCAGUGAACUCUUGUGCCUUAGAACCAGUGAGGUUGGACACAAGAAGUUCUGGAUCACGGCCUAAACUGGUGCAGCAACUCCACAAGACUUUGCGCACUCAACAACUCAGCUUCACCUCUUCAUGGAACUGGUUUGAGGUCUCCCCCUCUCAACUGACUUCACAGCCUUCUUAGAGAAGCUAGGACACGACCAGAUCAUCUUCACAACACUAGUGAGGCUGAUCAACACUUCACACACGGCUUGCCCUCUUCAUAGAACUGGUUUGGAUAUCCCCCUCUCAACCGACUUCACAGCCUUCUUAGGGAAGCUAGGAAAUGAUCAGGUCCUUCUUUGGUGAGGCUCAAGCACUGGUACCUGAUACAUUAUCCCACAGGUGCAUCAGUACCUAUUAAAAACAAGAAAAUGAAUAUCCUGCAUCACACUUGAUGCACACAAUCUCACAAUUCAAUCAUAAUCAUCUUAAGUAUCUUUUCAAGCACAAGCAAUGAAUAAGAUGAAUGAAAAAGAUUGAAAAGAGUUUUAAAAAUCUAAGGGAACUUCCCUUGUGUUUUUGUGAGUUUCCAAACUCUCUCAAUGCACCAUCUUCAUGGCAUCAUCAACUUCUUGGAAAGGCAGAGUGGAUUCAUCAGCUUCUCCUCAAUCACCUCUCAUUGAAGCUGCUUUGAUGGAGAGCCUUCUUCCUCACUUGCCAAGGCUGCUCUGAACAGCCUCUUGCCUAGACACGCCACUGACUUGGUCCGGUUGAUGAUCCUUGUAGAAGCUUUUGCAAAAGACUUGUUACUGACCAUGGAUCAUAUGCAUUAAGACUCCCCCUCAAGCUUAGAACCGAAACCAGAAGAAGCUAAGCUUGUGAUGAUCCUAUGCAUCUCCAUGGUCUAAUAACUAUCAUCUUUCAUGAUAGCUUUCUUCUUGUGAGUUUACUCUCUUCCUUAACCAGGAACUAGGGUGUUUGAAUCACCAUAGAGAGUCUCACAAGACACACCUCUCAUUGCAUAAUGACCCAUGCUACACUUCCUGUAGACUAAGGACUAGAUAUGUCCAAUGGUAUUAUGCAAUGGCUAUCUCUCAUUGCAUACUCAAUCACACUACACUUCCUGUAGAUUAUGGACUAACAUGUCCUAGUGAUGAUAUGCAAUGGCACAAGACCUUUGUCUCUACAUUCUUGGUUGAUGGCGAGUUACAUGUAUCACUUCCCUUGUGUACCUAACACCACCAAAACUCAAUGCAAGAUCAGAUCAUCCCAUUGGGAUCAAACCAAGAUCAUCCAUCCUGUUUGAUCACCAAUGCCACAAUAAUAUAUGAUACUUGAAACAAGCUAGACAAUCAAGACAAUCUAGCAAAGACAAUCAAUUCAGUUUUUUUUUUUAAAUGCAACAAUAGAUGAAUGCAUUAGGUUACACUAACUAUAUGAAUGAAACAGAUUCAAUCCAAAAUGGAACACAAGUCUAGAUGAUACUUCUGCAAUUAAGGCGACAAGAGUGACACAAUUCAUGCAUAUGCUCACUAGUUUUAUCAAGGCCAAUGAUUCAAGUAGCUUAGACAUACUUCUAAAUGCUUAUAAGACAUCACUGAUGGAUUUAACUAUGGCAUAGCAACAAUCAGAACUGGAUUGAGUCGAGACAAGCAGAUUUCAAUUUCUAACAAUGACAAUGCAAGUUCUAUACAGUUCUCUAAAUGCAAAGCUUAUAUCAGGUCAUUUGCAAUUUAGGCUCAUUUUUAAAUGCAUUACUACAUGAAUGCACAAUCUUAAAGAAUUAGCUAUAUGAAUGCAACGGGUUCAAUCCAUGAGUAAUAUUAAAGCUCUGCACAACAGUUUCAAUCAGAACCAAUGAUGCAAGCAACUUAGACAAUUUCUAAUUGAUGCAAGACUUUCAUUGAUGGAUUAAACAUAGGCAAUAACAUCAGAUAACACUAGGAUUGAACUUAGACAGUAUGAGAUAUGCUUAUGUAUGCAAAAGAACUUAUCAAUCAUGAUGCAAGCAGCAGAGACAUUCUACUCAAUUCUACAACACAUCCAUGAUGAUUCAAGCUAUGACAACACUCAAGACAAUGCAAUAAACAAAACAUGAGAUUCUGGGACUCUAGACACCACUCACAGCAUAAUAAAUAAAGACACAAGCUCUUAUUAAGGGUUAAGAGGUUUGCUUACAAACAAGAGAUCCGAGCUGAUCUCUUGAACCUCCAUGGGCACGGUUCACUUGAACUUGGCAUGAACUUGAUACUUGGAUUCAGUAUCCAACACCUUUCCUUGGUGUGCCCAUCCCUCUUGCAAUGCUCACUCUCCAAUGCUUCACUCUUCGGCUGGAUCACUCCAUGAUCAGCUUGCAAUGGUCUUGGUUUACAUUGCAUCACCCUCCUGGUGAUGCUCUUUCUUUGCAUGUCGACUGUCCUCUCUACACUCAUCUGAUGCGUAGGCUAUGGUGACUAAACCACCAUGGACAGAACCAUAAGUCAUCUCUCCAUUGUCACAACAUCCUCUCUACCCUCUUUGGAGCAGGCUGUGGACUUCCCACAGAAUGUUGGCAACAGGCUUCAUUUUACCAUUCUAUUGUAUGAUAAGGAUGAACUUCAAGACCAGGAGCACAUCACCCUAACAGCUGCGCUUAAAUCACUGAUCCAUCCUUUUGCUUUAAGCUUCAAGUACUCUCAGAUCACCGGCCUUCCUCAUGGCAUAGGUGGUGACCUUCUUCUUCUUGUGUGCCUUGAACCAGGAGCUCAACAACCUCGUGGCCUGCGCUUCUUAAACCGGCUUCUACACACAAGAACCUUCCCAUUGCUCCACACAAUGGUUGGUCUUCCGCUUGUAUGUCUUGAACCAGGAGCUCAACAACCUCGUGGCCUGCGCUUCUUAAACCAGCUUCUACACACAAGUAUCUUCCCAUUGCUCCACACAAUGGUUCAAGUCUUCCUCUUUUCUUGGAUAGGUGGUGAGCAGAGAACACUUCUUGUGAACCUGAAACACCACUCAAACUCCAGCAAGGAUAAGACACAAGAGUAUUGGGAUCAAUCCUUGAUUAAUCAUCAGGUUUGAUUCCCAAUCUCACAAGCAAUGCAACAGAUAGACACAAGGCAUUAUCAAGUUCUAUUCUUUGCAAGCUAGCUCUCUAAGAACAAGCAAGAUCCUAACAGAUUCAAGACAAGUUACUUAGGCACUUUUAAAAGCUUCUUUACUCAGCACUUUAGACAUGAAUCUAAUGCUUCAAUGUAAGAUAGCCACAAGACAUAUGCAACAGCUUUAAAUUCAGUUUCAAUCCAUGUAUGCAAGCAGAUUCAGUUAAUCACUCUAAGCAUCACUAUGAAACGAAGCUAAGCAUAUUAAUCACAUUCAGUCACCAAACAAAGCUCUUAAAGUAUCCUGGGACAGAUUCUAAACAUUUUAAUUUAUCAAUCUUUAACAGUCCUCAGGUUUUCAAUCACAUCACACAUUACAACCAGUCAACAACACAAGCUCAUUAUCAAGAGGGUUUUAAAAUCGCUUACACAAGGAACCAGGUUGGUUCCUUAAACCUCCAAGGGGACUGGCCAUGGCUUUUGUUGAAUCUGAGAGUCUGGAUAGUCACCCCCUUCUACUCCUUCAGUUCAUGACCACCUUCUUGUUUCUCUCCUGCCCACUCAAAGACUCCUCCUUUCUCCAAGUCUUCUAGGCGCACCACCUUGACAGCUUUCAUGAUGAACCGGGUGAAGAAAGCUCUUGGAGGAGGCCCGCCUUGGAUGAGGUUCGUGAGUCCUCUCCAUAAACUAUUCUUCUCUCCAAUGAGUCUCUCCAUCAGUAUAGACAGGGAAAGGAUGAGAGACAACGCCCUUCAGAUCUUCUUCUCAUGGAGAAACUGAACUCGGAUGGGAAUGUCUUCAAGGAUUGGAUUUGAGCUGAGGGUAGAGCUUGUGUUAUGUGGCGGAAGCUACAGCUCAGGUUCUGAUGAACCUGGCUCUGAUACCAUAUGAAUUUUUAAGAGAUCUCUACUCUGGUAGUAUGUGGUGUGUGUAUAAGCUUCAAUGAAGAAUGAUUGAGCUUGUUUCUAGGUGAUUUUAGGAAGAGAGAUUUGUGAGAGUGUAUAAGAGACUUAAGAAAGAGAGAUUAAGAGACUUAAGAGACUAGAGAGACUGAGAGAAUAAGAACUGAAGAUUAGUGUUUCAGAUUAGAGAGGAGAGGGGAAACCCCCUAACUCACUUAGUCUAUUAAAUCGCCAAUCUUGGCUUUAUAUUGUCUAUCUAACACUUUGCAAUAUCAUAAACCUAUAUCCUAGGGCUGAUAAUAACUUAAUGAUGGACGGCCUGAUGAGAUAAGGCUGGUCUUUGGUCUUGGCAGCUUGGCUUGUAAUUGGUUUGAUUCAAACUGAGGCAAAAAGGAGGACUGAAGGCGCCAAUGUAUCUAUGCUCCUUAUGUGACCAGAUACAGCUUCUCCUUUUGCCUUUACCUUUUUGCUUUUGCUUUCACGUACAGCAUUCUCCUUAUCUAUACAAGAUGCUCAGCAUAUUCCUUCCCUCCAUAAGCCUUCAACGGUCUUGUUAAUUCAAACCUGCCGCGCCCACACAUUGCACAACUUGAUCAAGACUGAUCCGAGUGAUGGCUGUACCGGAUGGGAUGUACGGACGCUGUACGGCCUUGAGGUCCGUACACUCGUCCUAUGCCUUCAUCCAACUUCC